rnacentral:tRNA from 1 species
GGGACUGUGACUUAGUGGUAGAGUACUUGCCUAGCAUACAUGAAACCCUGGGUUUGAAUCCUCAGUACCA